rnacentral:rRNA from 1 species
AUGCCUGGUACCACACACCGCUGGUGUAAGUGGCAUGUGCUUCGGAAGGCGAAAGAGCACCUCGGGCCGCAUUACACGAAACGAAGUGAUUUUAGGGCGGCGUUCCACAAGGUUGUCAAUGAAAUGCUAACUGUCGAUGAGUUCGAAGCUGCUUGGGCUGAUCUACUUGACAGAUACAAGCUCCACAACAACACCUUCCUGAUCCAGAUUUUCGAGGUUAUGCACAAGUGGGCAAAACCUUAUUUUAGUGGCAAGUUCUGUGCGAAGCAAACCAGUACGCAAAGGAGCGAAAGUGCGAACCAUUUGUUGAAGGGCUACAUUCCCCCGGCUUGCCCCAUGAACCUAUUUGUGAAACAAUACAGCAAGUUGCAGUUCGACCGAGAAGCUGAAGAAGGGUUCCAAGAGAAGAGAACAAGGCUGGGCGGUGUAGUUCUCCGAUACAAUUUUCCUCUGGAAGAGCAUGCGAGCCAGGUGUACACCCGGACGAUGUUUGAGAUGUUUGGUCAGGCUUUGUACCGUGCGGGAAGAUAUGAUGUCGAGGAAGUCGAACGAGGCACGAGGUACCAUGUGCGGCACAUUGAAGCUGAGAAGCGAGAGAAGUGGUGCCGCGAGAUGCAUGCUGUCGAUGUCCAUGAAGGUGGCGCUCGGUACACAUGCGAAUGCAGCUUGUUUGAGCACAUGGGGAUGCUUUGUUGCCAUGCUAUCGAGGUUCUUCUUCAUUUGGGGUGCGGAAGAUACCUAGCUUUCAUGUAA